AGGAACGCUGGCGGCGUGCUUAAUACAUGCAAGUCGAGCGAGGUUACUGUUUCGGAUCCCUUCGGGGUGAAGAAGCUUUAACCUAGCGGCGGACGGGUGAGUAACGCGUGGGUAACCUACCCCAAAGUCCGGGAUAACAGCGGGAAACCGCUGCUAAUACCGGAUGUCUUUACCUUGGGGCAUCUUGAGGUAAAGAAAGGUAACGCUUUGGGAUGGGCCCGCGUCCCAUUAGCUAGUUGGUGAGGUAACGGCUCACCAAGGCGACGAUGGGUAGCCGGCCUGAGAGGGUGGACGGCCACACUGGGACUGAGACACGGCCCAGACUCCUACGGGAGGCAGCAGUAGGGAAUAUUGCGCAAUGGACGGAAGUCUGACGCAGCGACGCCGCGUGAGCGAUGAAGGUCUUCGGAUCGUAAAGCUCUGUCCUUGGGGAAGAAGGUCUUCGGACUUGACGGUACCCAAGAAGAAAGCCCCGGCUAACUACGUG
rnacentral:rRNA from 1 species